rnacentral:rRNA from 1 species
UUCAGCAGGCAGAUUUAACUUUCUGCCACCGAAUACAUUAGCAUGGGAUAAUGGAAUAGGACCCUGUCCUCCUAUUUUCAGUUGGUUUUUGAGGACCAGGGUAAUGAUUAAUAGGGAUAGUUGGGGGCAUUAAUAUUUAAUUGUCAGAGGUGAAAUUCUUGGAUUUAUGAAAGAUUAACUUCUGCGAAAGCAUCUGCCAAGGAUGUUUUCAUUAAUCAAGAACGAAAGUUAGGGGAUCGAAGACGAUCAGAUACCGUCGUAGUCUUAACCAUAAACGAUGCCGACCAGCGAUUAGGAGACGUUGAAUACAAAACACCACCAUCAGACGGCGGGGCAUCUCCGCGCAAGCAGGGGUGGUUCGUUUCUCUGGUGGCCCGGUGAAUGACUCCCCUAGCAGCUUGUGAGA